UGGCCGGUCGUGAGAACGCGUCUAAUAACAACAACUGGAACAAAUAUCACUGAAGAGAUGUGGGAAGAAUACAUGAAGCUGACUCAGCAAUCUAAAAUCCCCACUGAAAAUAUUGAAAACAUCUAAGAAACAGGAAAGCUGAGUGGUAGCUGCAGGCUUUGUGCUGACCUGCACUGUCAAAGUCUCUCCAUUACUCUGGCAUGCAUUUGAAGAUCCCUUGGCUACAAGCAGCCACAGCCCUUGGAAACAUGCUUACAAACUCAGAUUUAUAUGGGGAAAGGGA